rnacentral:rRNA from 1 species
GGGGAAUAUUGGACAAUGGGCGCAAGCCUGAUCCAGCCAUGCCGCGUGAGUGAUGAAGGCCCUAGGGUUGUAAAGCUCUUUUGUGCGGGAAGAUAAUGACGGUACCCGUAGAAUAAGCCCCGGCUAACUUCGUGC